UCCGAAGGGGGCUAGCGUUGCUCGGAAUCACUGGGCGUAAAGGGUGCGUAGGCGGGUCUUUAAGUCAGGGGUGAAAUCCUGGAGCUCAACUCCAGAACUGCCUUUGAUACUGAGGAUCUUGAGUACGGGAGAGGUGAGUGGAACUGCGAGUGUAGAGGUGAAAUUCGUAGAUAUUCGCAAGAACACCAGUGGCGAAGGCGGCUCACUGGCCCGUAACUGACGCUGAGGCACGAAAGCGUGGGGAGCAAACAGG
rnacentral:rRNA from 1 species